GUGCUUGCUCCAGCAGCAUAUAUGCUAAAACUGGAACAAUACAGAGAAGAUUAGCAUAUCAUCAAUGCUUCAGUUGAGAUUCCUGCAUUGCAAGGAGUUGGACUAGAUUGUU